rnacentral:rRNA from 1 species
UUAAGUGACGAUAGCCUAGGAGAUACACCUGUACCCAUGCCGAACACAGAAGUUAAGCCCUAGAACGCCGGAAGUAGUUGGGGGUUGCCCCC